GCCAUCACUAACCGUGAAGCUCUCCGCCGCUCAAACCUCCGCUUCUUCACCACCAACAAACCCUUGCGAAUCCACCGUCCAAAAUCACCACAUGCGUUAACCCCUUUCGGCUUCUCACAAACCCCCUCUGAUUCGCGUUUCGCCGUCACCUCCAAAGCCCUUAACCACCGUCCUCUUCCAUCGCCUCUCUCAAACAUCUUUCUCUCAACUCUAAAUCAUCAAACCGAAACCCCACAACCACCGUCAACCCUUUUGACCACUACCAAAUGCGACCUCUUUCUCCUUCGUCGCUCAGAACCAAUUGAGUGUGUGUCGAAUUUGCUCAUGAACGCUUUAAAUCAUUGUGUUUGACAAGUUUGCUCCUGAUAUUAUGUUUGCUCUGGUCGCAAGUUGUGUUUGUUGUUUAACAGGUUGCAAAUUAAUUUUCUUUGGUUCGUAUUGAGGCUGGAGGCUACGUUUGGAUACUGCCGAAGGUUCAACAAGAGAAUCCAACUGUGAAAGCUGAAGUGAUAAACGCAAGCUUCUCUACUCUAGCGCCUCCCCUUACUCGACGUCAACGUUGGUCUGACAUUACGAACAACAUCCAUAGCUUUCACAUAUCACGAUUCCGGUCACAAUUCAGCUUUGAUUAUAUCUGUGAAUUUUCAAAUCUCUGUUUCACUUUUAUCCGAAAUGUUGAUGAUUGUAACGUCAGGAACAUAAGGUUACUCUGUUGAUUAUAUAUUUCAUAAUCUUGAUUAAAGGAAUUAUAGGUUUGUUUAGGUUGUGAUUCCUGGAACGUGGUCUUGUUGUGGUGUGAAUCCUGGAUGUAUGAAUAUGUGAAUCAUGAGCCAAAUGCGUGCUGUACUGUGGGUAACCGUUUGUUGAUACAUUUUCUUUCUCGCGUGAAUUUGUUUAUUGCGCUUCA